UACAGAGGUCCCAAGCGUUGUUCGGAUUCACUGGGCGUAAAGGGUGCGUAGGCGGUUCGUUAAGUCGGAUGUGAAAGCCCUCGGCUCAACUGAGGAAGUGCACCCGAAACUGGCGAGCUUGAGUACGAAAGAGGAUCGCGGAAUUCCCGGUGUAGAGGUGAAAUUCGUAGAUAUCGGGAGGAACACCGGCGGCGAAGGCGGCGAUCUGGGUCGAUACUGACGCUGAGGUGCGAAAGCGUGGGGAGCAAACAGGG
rnacentral:rRNA from 1 species